rnacentral:rRNA from 1 species
AUGAACGCUGGCGGCGUGCCUAAUACCUGCAAGUCGAGCGAACGGACGAGAAGCUUGCUUCUCUGAUGUUAGCGGCGGACGGGUGAGUAACACGUGGAUAACCUACCUAUAAGACUGGGAUAACUUCGGGAAACCGGAGCUAAUACCGGAUAAUAUUUUGAACCGCAUGGUUCAAAAGUGAAAGACGGUCUUGCUGUCACUUAUAGAUGGAUCCGCGCUGCAUUAGCUAGUUGGUAAGGUAACGGCUUACCAAGGCAACGAUGCAUAGCCGACCUGAGAGGGUGAUCGGCCACACUGGAACCGAGACACGGUCCAGACUCCUACGGGAGGCAGCAGUAGGGAAUCUUCCGCAAUGGGCGAAAGCCUGACGGAGCAACGCCGCGUGAGUGAUGAAGGUCUUCGGAUCGUAAAACUCUGUUAUUAGGGAAGAACAUAUGUGUAAGUAACUGUGCACAUCUUGACGGUACCUAAUCAGAAAGCCACGGCUAACUACGUG